GUUUUUUUAAGUAUCUGAAUACAGACCUAUGAAGUCUCUCCCAUUUGGCAGGAGUUUUCUGAAUUUUGAAGAGAAACUCCAACCUGCAUUUAAAAAUAAUUUAAUAACUUUCUUUUCCUCAUUAGUAACUUAAAAUACACCAAGCUUCUAACUUUUUAAAUAGUUUUCAUUUUAUAAGUUAAGAAAAAUAGUUAAAGAUUGUUAAAAAUUGCUUAACACAAACAUAAAUAUGUAAAAGUAUAUCUAUACAGAAUAAAUUUCAGCUCAGUCAGUAGCCAAAUUUGAACAUUUUUAAGUUAGUUGUCAGAGUAAUAAAUCAUUAAAAAACUUUUUUAGUCAAUAGAGGUAUUAUAGUGGACAAAUAUCCAGUGGUAUAAAAUUUAUUCCGAGUCUCCCUUGUAAACAUUUUCAAAACAUGACAGCAAUGAAAUCUACCUAUAAUAAUUUUUCAAUCAUUGAUUCCUGCAACAAACUUAGACUUAAAAGAGUUAAAGUAACUGGAGAUAAAGAAGUAUGUGCAGGAUUUAUUUUCACGACUAAAGAGGACUCCGAAGAAGUAUUAAAGUUCUGGUGGAUCAAAGAUCGAGGAAUGAUUUGGUUUUAACUGGUUUGCAUCUUAUGAACGAAGUACAUAAUAUGAUUUAAAUUGAUGAUUUAUAGUUACACCUAUUGAAAUUCUGUAUCUCAAUGAUAUCCUGGCCUAUCGAUACGAUAUCCCGUAAAUCCACUCACACACAUAAAUUUUACUCACAUACGUAAAUCCUUUAAAUUCACUCACACACAUAAAUCUUAAAAAAGAUGUUUAUAUUUUUAUCUAUAAAUUGUAAAU